rnacentral:rRNA from 1 species
CCUACGGGUGGCAGCAGUGGGGAAUAUUGCGCAAUGGGCGAAAGCCUGACGCAGCGACGCCGCGUGAGGGAUGAAGGUCUUCGGAUCGUAAACCUCUGUCAGCAGGGAAGAACGGUCACUGUGCUAAUCAGCAGUGAAUUGACGGUACCUGCAAAGGAAGCACCGGCUAACUCCGUGCCAGCAGCCGCGGUAAUACGUAGGGGGCAAGCGUUAUCCGGAUUUACUGGGCGUAAAGGGAUCGUAGACGGCAAGGCAAGUCUGGGGUGAAAGCCCGUGGCUCAACCACGGGACUGCUUUGGAAACUGGGUAGCUGGAGUGCGGGAGGGGUAAGCGGAAUUCCAAGUGUAGGAGUGAAAUGCGUAGAUAUUAGGAGGAACACCAGUGGCGAAGGCGACUUACUGGCAUGUAACUGACGUUGAGGCUCGAAGGCGUGGGGAGCAAACAGGAUUAGAUACCCCGGUAGUC